rnacentral:rRNA from 1 species
AUUGAACGCUGGCGGCAGGCUUAACACAUGCAAGUCGAGCGGGGGAAGGUAGCUUGCUACCGGACCUAGCGGCGGACGGGUGAGUAAUGCUUAGGAAUCUGCCUAUUAGUGGGGGACAACAUCUCGAAAGGGAUGCUAAUACCGCAUACGUCCUACGGGAGAAAGCAGGGGAUCUUCGGACCUUGCGCUAAUAGAUGAGCCUAAGUCGGAUUAGCUAGUUGGUGGGGUAAAGGCCUACCAAGGCGACGAUCUGUAGUGGGUCUGAGAGGAUGAUCCGCCACACUGGGACUGAGACACGGCCCAGACUCCUACGGGAGGCAGCAGUGGGGAAUAUUGGACAAUGGGGGGAACCCUGAUCCAGCCAUGCCGCGUGUGUGAAGAAGGCCUUAUGGUUGUAAAGCACUUUAAGCGAGGAGGAGGCUACUUUAGUUAAUACCUAGAGAUAGUGGACGUUACUCGCAGAAUAAGCACCGGCUAACUCUGUGCCAGCCGCCGCGUAACAC